rnacentral:rRNA from 1 species
CCUACGGGAGGCAGCAGUGGGGAAUAUUGCACAAUGGGGGAAACCCUGAUGCAGCGACGCCGCGUGAGUGAAGAAGUAUUUCGGUACGUAAAGCUCUAUCAGCAGGGAAGAAAAUGACGGUACCUGACUAAGAAGCCCUGGCUAACUACGUGCCAGCAGCCGCGGUAAUACGUAGGGGGCAAGCGUUAUCCGGAUUUACUGGGUGUAAAGGGAGCGUAGACGGCAGCGCAAGUCUGGAGUGAAAUCCCAUGGCUUAACCAUGGAACUGCUUUGGAAACUGUGCAGCUAGAGUGCAGGAGAGGUAAGCGGAAUUCCUAGUGUAGCGGUGAAAUGCGUAGAUAUUAGGAGGAACACCAGUGGCGAAGGCGGCUUACUGGACUGUAACUGACGUUGAGGCUCGAAAGCGUGGGGAGCAAACAGGAUUAGAUACCCCUGUAGUC